rnacentral:rRNA from 1 species
UACGUAGGGGGCAAGCGUUGUCCGGAAUCAUUGGGCGUAAAGCGCGUGUAGGCGGCCCGAUAAGUCCGCUGUGAAAGUCCAGGGCUCAACCCUGGAAUGCCGGUGGAUACUGUCGGGCUCGAGUCCGGAAGAGGCGAGUGGAAUUCCUGGUGUAGCGGUGAAAUGCGCAGAUAUCAGGAGGAACACCGAUGGCGAAGGCAGCUCGCUGGGAUGAUGCUGACGCUGAGGCGCGAAAGCCAGGGGAGCAAACGGG